GUGUUCACUGUGAAAGCCUUGGU
rnacentral:miRNA from 9 species